rnacentral:tRNA from 1 species
UGGGGUGUCACUCAAUGGGAGAAUACUUGCCUAGCAUGCAUAAGGUCCUGGGUUCAAUCCCCAGCACUCAAA